GCAGUUCCUUGCCAAUUUUUGAUAGCAUUGCGUUCAUCCACUUUCUCAGGCAGGGACUAUAGGAAAUGAAGGUGAACUCGUGGAGAUUUUGGAGAGAAUUUAAUGAAGAGGCUGUUUACCAAGGAUCUCUCUCUGUCUCCGAGGCUGGAGUGCAAUGUUGCAAUCAGGGCUCACUGCAGCCUCGACCUCCUGGGCUCAACUGAUCUUCGUACCACAGCCUCAUGAGUAACUGGGACUACAGACGACCAUGGGCAUUUUUUCUAUGCAACUACAGAUAGUAUCUCAUGAUAUGAAUGGUCCUGGAUUUACUUACACAUCCUCCUUUGGAUGAGCAAGCACUGGUUCUGGUGGACACUGAGAGACAAUUUUUAUUUGCUGCACGUGGAAAGGACAACAACAUACCUGGACAGAAAUGCCUCGAGGAUGUACUGAAGGCCCCUCUCACUUUUCACAGCCAUAACUGUAAGUUUCCUGGGGCCUCUCCAGAAGACAAGCAGAUGCCGCUAUGCUUCCUGAACAGCCCACAGAACUAGAUGGGGUUUCACCAUGUUAGCCAGGAUGGUCUCGAUCUCCUGACCUCGUGAUCCACCCGCCUUGGCCUCCCAAAGUGCUGGGAUUACAGGUGUGAGCCACCGCGCCUCGCCAAUGGUCUUCUGGUUU
rnacentral:lncRNA from 1 species